GUUUAGAUAGCUCAGUUGGUAGAGCAAAGGACUGAAAAUCCUUGUGUCGGCAGUUCGAAUCUGCCUCUAGACA
rnacentral:tRNA from 1 species